rnacentral:rRNA from 1 species
GACGAACGCUGGCGGCGUGCCUAAUACAUGCAAGUUGAGCGAUGAAGAUUGGUGCUUGCACCAAUUUGCAGAGCAGCGAACGGGUGAGUAACGCGUGGGGAAUCUGCCUUUGAGCGGGGGACAACAUUUGGAAACGAAUGCUAAUACCGCAUAACAACUUUAAACAUAAGUUUUAAGUUUGAAAGAUGCAAUUGCAUCACUCAAAGAUGAUCCCGCGUUGUAUUAGCUAGUUGGUGAGGUAAAGGCUCACCAAGGCGAUGAUACAUAGCCGACCUGAGAGGGUGAUCGGCCACAUUGGGACUGAGACACGGCCCAAACUCCUACGGGAGGCAGCAGUAGGGAAUCUUCGGCAAUGGACGAAAGUCUGACCGAGCAACGCCGCGUGAGUGAAGAAGGUUUUCGGAUCGUAAAACUCGGUUGGUAGAGAAGAACGUUGGUGAGAGUGGAAAGCUCAUCAAGUGACGGUAACUACCCAGAAAGGGACGGCUAACUACGUG